UGGCAGGUUAAUGGAACAGUCUAAAUUGUCCCUACAUGUGAGUGUGAGCGCGGAUGGUUGUUUGUCAAUGUGUGCCCUGCAAUUGGCUGGCAACCAGUUCAGGGUGUACCCCGCCCACUGCCCGAAGACAGCUGGUAUAGGCUGCAGCAUGCCCCGUGACCCUUGUGAGGAUAAGUGGAUCAGAAAAUGGAUGGACGGAUGGAU